rnacentral:rRNA from 1 species
GACGUAGGGCGCGAGCGUUGUCCGGAUUUAUUGGGCGUAAAGAGCUCGUAGGCGGUGUGUCGCGUCGGCCGUGAAAACCUGGGGCUCAACUCUGGGCGUGCGGUCGAUACGGGCAUCACUGGAGUUCGGCAGGGGAGACUGGAAUUCCUGGUGUAGCGGUGAAAUGCGUUGAUAUCGGCUGGAACUCCGAUGGCGAAGGCAAGGUGCUGGACCCUCUCUGACGCUGAGGCGCGAAAGCCAGGGGAGCGAACGGG